rnacentral:rRNA from 1 species
CCUACGGGUGGCAGCAGUGGGGAAUAUUGCACAAUGGGGGAAACCCUGAUGCAGCGACGCCGCGUGAAGGAUGAAGUAUUUCGGUAUGUAAACUUCUAUCCGCAGGGAAGAAAAUGACGGUACCUGACUAAGAAGCCCCGGCUAACUACGUGCCAGCAGCCGCGGUAAUACGUAGGGGGCUAGCGUUAUCCGGAUUUACUGGGUGUAAAGGGAGCGUAGGUGGUAUUGCAAGUCUGAGGUGAAAACCCGGGGCCCAACCCCGGGAAUGCCUUGGAAACUGGCAGGCUUGAGUGUCGGAGAGGAAAGUGGAAUUCCUAGUGUAGCGGUGAAAUGCGUAGAUAUUAGGAGGAACACCAGUGGCGAAGGCGGCUUGCUGGACGGUGACUGACGUUGAGGCUCGAAAGCGUGGGGAGCAAACAGGAUUAGAUACCCUUGUAGUC